rnacentral:rRNA from 1 species
GAUGAACGCUAGCUACAGGCUUAACACAUGCAAGUCGAGGGGCAGCAUGAAAGGAACUUCGGUUCUUUUUGAUGGCGACCGGCGCACGGGUGCGUAACGCGUAUCGAACCUGCCUCAUACUCGGGGAUAGCCUUGCGAAAGUAAGAUUAAUACAAGAUGGCAUCAUGAGUUCACAUGUUCACAUGAUUAAAGGUAUUCCGGUAGACGAUGGGGAUGUGUUCCAUUAGAUAGUAGGCGGGGUAACGGCCCACCUAGUCUUCGAUGGAUAGGGGUUCUGAGAGGAAGGUCCCCCACAUUGGAACUGAGACACGGUCCAA